AGUGAACGCUGGCGGUAGUCCUAACACAUGCAAGUCGAACGGCAGCACAGUAAGAGCUUGCUCUUACGGGUGGCGAGUGGCGGACGGGUGAGGAAUACAUCGGAAUCUACUUUUUCGUGGGGGAUAACGUAGGGAAACUUACGCUAAUACCGCAUACGACCUACGGGUGAAAGCAGGGGAUCUUCGGACCUUGCGCGAUUGAAUGAGCCGAUGUCGGAUUAGUUAGUUGGCGGGGUAAAGGCCCACCAAGGCGAGGAUCCGUAGCUGGUCUGAGAGGAUGAUCAGCCACACUUGAACUGAGACACGCUCCAGACUCCUACGGGAGGCAGCAGUGGGGAAUAUUGGACAAUGGGCGGAAGCCUGAUCAAGCCAUACCGCGUGGGUGAAGAAAGCCUUCGGGUUGUAAAGCCCUUUUGUUGGGAAAGAAAAGCAGCAGGUUAAUAACCCGCUGUUCUGACGGUACCCAAAGAAUAAGCACCGGCUAACUUCGUG
rnacentral:rRNA from 1 species